CUGUGGACUAUCAUAGUUAUUUUAUUCAAUCAUGUUUCGGGGUGGGCUCUGCUUUGAAUGUCGACGUCACCCAAAGUAUCAGUUGACGUUAUCAACGUUAUCAUAGUGAUAUGCGCGGGAGAUUGACCUGGGCUCACUCCUCCUAACGUUCAUCGUCGAAAGAUUCCAUAGGCUACUGUUUAAUCUCCAGAUCAUACUGGAAAGCGUUUUUCUGUCCCUCCCAAGUAAAGGCCCUCAAGAAGAACCC